rnacentral:rRNA from 1 species
AAACGGUAGCUAAUACCGCAUAACGUCGCAAGACCAAAGAGGGGGACCUUCGGGCCUCUUGCCAUCAGAUGUGCCCAGAUGGGAUUAGCUAGUAGGUGGGGUAACGGCUCACCUAGGCGACGAUCCCUAGCUGGUCUGAGAGGAUGACCAGCCACACUGGAACUGAGACACGGUCCAGACUCCUACGGGAGGCAGCAGUGGGGAAUAUUGCACAAUGGGCGCAAGCCUGAUGCAGCCAUGCCGCGUGUAUGAAGAAGGCCUUCGGGUUGUAAAGUACUUUCAGCGGGGAGGAAGGCGAUAAGGUUAAUAACCUUGUCGAUUGACGUUACCCGCAGAAGAAGCACCGGCUAACUCCGUGCCAGCAGCCGCGGUAAUACGGAGGGUGCAAGCGUUAAUCGGAAUUACUGGGCGUAAAGCGCACGCAGGCGGUCUGUCAAGUCGGAUGUGAAAUCCCCGGGCUCAACCUGGGAACUGCAUUC